UGAUUAUCCAAGAAUGGUUAUUAAGACUGUCCUUUUAAUAAUCUUUUCACAAAGAUAUUGUUUUGAUUAUUUAGGAUAGGGGUAGGCAACCUUCAGCACACAAUGUUGUAUACUACAUCUCCCGUGAUGCAUUGUCAGCAUUAUUUAAGUAAGGGCAUUAUGGGAGAUGUUGCCUACAUCUGAUCUAGGAUAUCCCAGUUGUUACGGCGUGCACAGAGCACCCAUUUAGUAAGAGCAGGCACCUACCUUCUGGUGGCAGAGCUCUAUGGCAAGUGCCUACUCUUCAGAUUUAGACCUUGGACACAGCGCAGGUGCCAGCGCAGCUGCUGAGGUCGGUAUGCA